UGGCUAGGAGGUUAAAGCGUCUGCCUGGAAUGCGGGAGACCCAGGUUUGAUCCCUGG
rnacentral:tRNA from 1 species